GACGAACGCUGGCGGCGUGCCUAACACAUGCAAGUCGAGCGAUGAAGCUCCUUCGGGAGUGGAUUAGCGGCGGACGGGUGAGUAACACGUGGGUAACCUGCCUCAUAGAGAGGGAUAGCCUUCCGAAAGGAAGAUUAAUACCUCAUAAGAUUGUAGUUUCGCAUGAAACGGCAAUAAAAGGAGCAAUCCGCUAUGAGAUGGACCCGCGCCGCAUUAGCUAGUUGGUAAGGUAAUGGCUUACCAAGGCGACGAUGCGUAGCCGACCUGAGAGGGUGAUCGGCCACAUUGGGACUGAGACACGGCCCAGACUCCUACGGGAGGCAGCAGUGGGGAAUAUUGCACAAUGGGGGAAACCCUGAUGCAGCAACGCCGCGUGAGUGAUGACGGUCUUCGGAUUGUAAAACUCUGUCUUUGGGGACGAUAAUGACGGUACCCAUGGAGGAAGCCACGGCUAACUACGUGCCAGCAGCCGCGGUAAUAC
rnacentral:rRNA from 1 species